AGUACUAGGUGGCGUUCUGGAC
rnacentral:siRNA from 1 species